UGGAAGCGUCUGGAAAGGCGCGCGAUACAGGGUGACAGCCCCGUACACAAAAAUGCACAUACUGUGAGCUCGAUGAGUAGGGCGGGACACGUGGUAUCCUGUCUGAAUAUGGGGGGACCAUCCUCCAAGGCUAAAUACUCCUGACUGACCGAUAGUGAACCAGUACCGUGAGGGAAAGGCGAAAAGAACCCCGGCGAGGGGAGUGAAAAAGAACCUGAAACCGUGUACGUACAAGCAGUGGGAGCACGCUCAGGCGUGUGACUGCGUACCUUUUGUAUAAUGGGUCAGCGACUUAUAUUCUGUAGCAAGGUUAACCGAAUAGGGGAGCCGAAGGGAAACCGAGUCUUAACUGGGCGUUAAGUUGCAGGGUAUAGACCCGAAACCCGGUGAUCUAGCCAUGGGCAGGUUGAAGGUUGGGUAACACUAACUGGAGGACCGAACCGACUAAUGUUGAAAAAUUAGCGGAUGACUUGUGGCUGGGGGUGAAAGGCCAAUCAAACCGGGAGAUAGCUGGUUCUCCCCGAAAGCU
rnacentral:rRNA from 1 species